CGAACGCUGGCGGCGUGCCUAAUACAUGCAAGUCGAGCGCGGGAAGCGGACGAAUCACCCGUUCGGGGUGUGCGUCCGUGGAACGAGCGGCGGAUGGGUGAGUAUCACGUGGGCAACCUGCCUGUAAGAUUGGGAUAACUCGCGGAAACGUGAGCUAAUACCGAAUGAAGUCUUUCGCCGCCUGGUGAAAGGAUGAAAGAUGGCUCUUGAGCUAUCACUUACAGAUGGGCCCGCGGCGCAUUAGCUAGUUGGUGGGGUAAAGGCCUACCAAGGCGACGAUGCGUAGCCGACCUGAGAGGGUGAGCGGCCACACUGGGACUGAGACACGGCCCAGACUCCUACGGGAGGCAGCAGUAGGGAAUCUUCCGCAAUGGACGAAAGUCUGACGGAGCAACGCCGCGUGAGUGAUGAAGGUCUUCGGAUCGUAAAACUCUGUUGUCAGGGAAGAACAGGUUGUGUUCUAACAGGACAUGACCUUGACGGUACCUGACCAGAAAGCCCCGGCUAACUACGUGCCAGCAGCGGC
rnacentral:rRNA from 1 species